rnacentral:rRNA from 1 species
AUACGGAGGGUGCAAGCGUUACUCGGAAUCACUGGGCGUAAAGCGCGCGCAGGCGGUCUUUUAAGUUGGAUGUGAAAGCCUACGGCUCAACCGUAGAACUGCAUCCAAAACUAUUAGACUAGAGUGUGGGAGAGGAAGAUGGAAUUAGUUGUGUAGGGGCAAAAUCCGUAGAGAUAACUAGGAAUACCAAAAGCGAAGGCAAUCUUCUGGAACACUACUGACGCUGAGGCGCGAAAGCGUGGGGAGCAAACAGGAUUAGAUACCCCAGUAGUCC